GAACUCCACACACACAAAGCUAUAAAAUAAAACAACAACACUUUAUUUGCUAAGGGGAGAGGAAGGAAUGGAAAGGGGAAUGGAUUAAUGAUUCUGGAGAUUCGGAAUAACACACAGGCACUUAUAAUACAAGAUGUUCUAUCUUUACAGACAUCAGCGAUAAAGGGGUGCAGGAUCCAGAAAAGAGAAGCCAGUAGUGAACACUGACCGUGGACAACAGAUGAAACAGACAGACGAACUAUUGCAAGAAGGUGUGGAUACAACAGUACAUUGAGAGCCGAGAAGGAAGGACUGUGCUGGAGUACUAAUUCUGAACAUGGCACUAGGUCUUUCAUGAACCCAAGGAGCUGAUAUAUUUCCAGAAACCCACCCCAUGGUACAUGCUCAGAUGGGAAGGGCUUGAACCACCCAACUAGAAGCAGAACACAGACAGAUGUUUUCCUCAGGUGCUACCCCAGACGAUACUGCCAGGACCGCAAUUCAUUGUGCAGCUUGUGCUGACGGCGGCCUCACCGUACCCUGCACCACUUGCUGUGUCCCCUCCUGGAUUGCAGCAAACCCUGCAACAGGAUGCCCUUCGUGGUGACAAGCACUCCCAUCAACUGCCCAGAGUGUUAACCCUUUUCCUUGUACUUCUUCCCAGGAUGUUGCUAAGAAGAAUGGAGAUAGUAAGUCUAAAUCAGGAUCUGGCAACGGACAUUCGUGCUCAUCUCCUGCGGUAAUCGGAGCAUAGGGAAGGAUUCUCGUAUGGGGGGGAUCUUCUCAGUACGAAUAUCCCGAUUGACCAGACUUAGAGUCCAUCCCGCCAGCCGGGGAGAGGAUACCCUUCCCUCAUUAAUUCUUCCAGAGAUGACAUAUUUUACUGGAGUAUGGCAUGUCCUCACCACAAUGAGAGCUGUGCCACUUAAAUAUUCCCAAUGUGUUAGGGACCAUACCAGGGCGAAUACCUCACGUUCGCAAGCUGAAAACCUCGCCUCCACCUCACUGAGAGUUUUGGAACCAUAGGCCAUCGGUCUCACCUGGCCAAUUUGUUUUUGCAGCAAAACAGCUCCAGUGCUUGCUGGAGUAGUUGCCAGGUGCAAGUAAAAUGGCAGGCCUUGUUUAGGAGAGGCUCGCGCUGGUGCAGCCGCUAGAGCCUUUCUAAGAUCAUUAAAAAGGCACCUUUCACAAUUGGCAAGUCAAAUCCUAGUGAGGAAAAGACAAAGAAGCGUAAACUCUGGCAAGUCCAAUGAAAAGUAUAGGGCAGAGGCCAAAAAUGAACGUGAAGAGCAACUAGCCAAGGCACAACAACUAACAGCAAAGGGUUGUUCAGUACAUGGGAUCAGGGCCGGCUCCAGGCACCAGCCUACCAAGCACGGGCUGGGGCGGCA